rnacentral:rRNA from 1 species
AGAGUUUGAUUAUGGCUCAGGAUGAACGCUAGCGACAGGCUUAACACAUGCAAGUCGAGGGGCAGCAUAAAAGUAGCAAUACUUGGUGGCGACCGGCGCACGGGUGAGUAACGCGUAUGCAACCUACCUAUCAGAGGGGAAUAACCCGGCGAAAGUCGGACUAAUACCGCAUAAAACAGGGGCACCGCAUGGUGAUAUUUGUUAAAGAAAUUCGCUGAUAGAUGGGCAUGCGUUCCAUUAGGUAGUUGGUGAGGUAACGGCUCACCAAGCCGACGAUGGAUAGGGGAACUGAGAGGUUGGUCCCCCACACUGGUACUGAGACACGGACCAGACUCCUACGGGAGGCAGCAGUGAGGAAUAUUGGUCAAUGGGCGGGAGCCUGAACCAGCCAAGUCGCGUGAAGGAAGAAGGAUCUAUGGUUCGUAAACUUCUUUUGCAGGGGAAUAAAGUGCAGGACGUGUCCUGUUUUGUAUGUACCCUGAGAAUAAGGAUCGGCUAACUCCGUGCCAGCAGCGGC